UACGGAGGGAGCUAGCGUUGUUCGGAAUUACUGGGCGUAAAGCGCACGUAGGCGGCUAUUCAAGUCGGGGGUGAAAGCCCGGGGCUCAACCCCGGAACUGCCCUCGAAACUAGGUAGCUAAAAUCUUGGAGAGGCGAGUGGAAUUCCGAGUGUAGAGGUGAAAUUCGUAGAUAUUCGGAAGAACACCAGUGGCGAAGGCGACUCGCUGGACAAGUAUUGACGCUGAGGUGCGAAAGCGUGGGGAGCAAACAGG
rnacentral:rRNA from 1 species